UGGUAGAUGUGAGAAUGUGGGGGUACGAAUGUGGGGGUGUUUCUGAAUGGUAAUUUUUGUUGAACAUUGUGUUGUGUUGGGGCUACCAACCCUUAACUGUUUUGGAGUUUAAAUUGGAAGUGCCCUUCUGGUACGAGGCCUGACCGGAGGCUUUUAAUCUGGUACCACGGGUAACCAGGAGCCCACGGAACUUGUUCCGUCCUGGUUAGUUGGUGAGGCCCUUCGGGGAGUAUCGUGGUGGUUGUGGCUUGACACCCAAAUGCGGGUAGAGCAUCGCUCGACGUGGAGUUGCGUCAUACAACCGGGUUCCGUGACCCAGAUUACGGAAGAGGCUUAGAUAGUCCUCGUGCCAAACCAAGGUAGAAGUCACAACCAAACAGUCGUGUCUUUAAUUGGUACCUGCGGAAUUGUUCCAAGGGGGCGGUGAUUGACGCUUGAAUUAAUCCUAUACUAGGAACCGUGAGAUUAAGCCAUCGCGGCAGGUGCUCACGUUAAGCCCACUGACUUUCAUGUCCCUAUCUACUAUCUAGCGAAACCACAGCCAAGGGAACGGGCUUGGAAUAAUUAGCGGGGAAAGAAGACCCUUUUGAGCUUGACUCUAAUCUGGCAGUGUAAGGAGACAUAAGAGGUGUAGAUAAGUGGGAGAUAUUAGACUUCGGUUUGGUAUCGACAAUGAAAUACCACUACUCUUAUUGUUUCCUUACUUAGUUGAUUAAAUGGAACAUGUAUCAUUUCCUAGCCAUUAUACGGAUAUAAUUAUUAUGUCUUAUGGUAUUGGGUUUUGAUGCAAGCUUAUUGAUCAAAGUAUCACGAGUUUGUUAUAUAAUCGCAAACAAAUUCUUUAAUGAGAGAAUGCAAUUAUGUAUUAUUGAUUUAAAAAUUUGGUAUAACUCCAAUUACUCAGGUAUGAUCCAAUUCAAGGACAUUGCCAGGUAGGGAGUUUGACUGGGGCGGUACAUCUCUCAAAUAAUAAUGGAGGUGUCCCAAGGCCAGCUCAGUGCGGACAGAAACCACACAUAGAGCAAAAGGGCAAAUGCUGACUUGAUCUCGGUGUUCAGUACACACAGGGACAGCAAAAGCUCGGCCUAUAGAUCCUUUUGGUUUAAAGAAUUUUUAACAAGAAGGUGUC
rnacentral:ncRNA from 1 species